GUAGAAAUCAAGAAGGAGCAUCAAGUGUUGAUGGUUAACAAGACCACUAGUUUCAAGAAAAAGGGCAAAGGGAAGAAAAAGGGGAACUUCAAGAAGAACGGCAAGCAAGUUGCUGCUCAAGAGAAGAAACCUAAGUCUGGACUUAAGCCUGAAACUGAGUGCUUCUACUGCAAGCAGACUGGUCACUGGAAGCGGAACUGCCCCAAGUAUUUGGCAGAUAAGAAGGAUGGCAAGGUGAACAAAGGUAUAUGUGAUAUACAUGUUAUUGAUGUGUACCUUACUAGAGCUCGCAGUAGCACCUGGGUAUUUGAUACUGGUUCUGUUGCUAAUAUUUGCAACUCGAAACAGGGACUACAGAAUAAGCGGGCACUGGCAAAGGACGAGGUAACGAUGCGCGUGGGAAACGGUUCCAAAGUCGAUGUGAUCGCAGUCGGCACGCUACCUCUACAUCUACCUUCGGGAUUAAUAUUAGACCUAAGUAAUUGUUAUUUGGUGCCAGCGUUGAGCAUGAACAUUAUAUCUGGAUCUUGUUUAAUGCGAGACGGUUAUUCAUUUAAAUCAGAGAAUAAUGGUUGUUCUAUUUAUAUGAGUAAUAUCUUUUAUGGUCAUGCACCCUUGAAGAGUGGUCUAUUUUUAUUGAAUCUCGAUAGUAGUAAUACACAUAUUCAUAAUGUUGAAGCCAAAAGAUGCAGAGUUGAUAAUGAAAGUGCAACUUAUUUGUGGCACUGUCGUUUAGGUCAUAUC
rnacentral:rRNA from 1 species